rnacentral:lncRNA from 1 species
UUGAGUCUGCCAAAAAAAAAAACCCAUUCAUUUAAAUCAUUUAUUUCACCUGUUACGUUUUUGCUGGUAUAUCAAGUGCUAAUGGAAUGCAAGUGUAUGUAUUCAAAUCUAGUUAAUAUUUAAGUUUCCCACACUGUGCAAGCAUUUUUAAAACCAAGAUUCAGUCUUCUAACUAAUGAAGUUAUGUGGCCAGAUUAUAUAGCCCUAUUAACGUGAAUUUUCUUUGUAGUGUGUGGAAUAAGAAGUUGAGAAAAUUUUCUUAUUAAUCAGCACCUAUACUGUAUCUAAUAGUAGCUGGGAAAAAAUGUUGAGUUACAGAAAGUUUAAUUGUGUGCAGUUAAAAUAUUUUAUUACAUAUUUCUUGAGGAACAGGAGAAAAAGAUGGCAAAUAGAGCAUAUUAAAACAAGAGCAGUGACUUAACUACCAUAUAC